CCUACGGGUGGCAGCAGUGGGGAAUAUUGGACAAUGGGGGCAACCCUGAUCCAGCCAUGCCGCGUGUGUGAAGAAGGCCCUCGGGUUGUAAAGCACUUUCAGUGAGGAAGAACGCCUGGUGGUUAAUACCCAUCAGGAAAGACAUCACUCACAGAAGAAGCACCGGCUAACUCCGUGCCAGCAGCCGCGGUAAUACGGAGGGUGCGAGCGUUAAUCGGAAUUACUGGGCGUAAAGCGCGCGUAGGUGGCUUGAUAAGCCGGUUGUGAAAGCCCCGGGCUCAACCUGGGAACGGCAUCCGGAACUGUCAAGCUAGAGUGCAGGAGAGGAAGGUAGAAUUCCCGGUGUAGCGGUGAAAUGCGUAGAGAUCGGGAGGAAUACCAGUGGCGAAGGCGGCCUUCUGGACUGACACUGACACUGAGGUGCGAAAGCGUGGGUAGCAAACAGGAUUAGAUACCCUAGUAGU
rnacentral:rRNA from 1 species